CCCUCGACCCACACAGCCCCGGGCCCCACCCACGCUGCACACACACCCACGCCCAACCCACGCACACACACCCAUGUUGGAUCCCAUCUCUCUCAUCCUCCUCGAUCCCCUUUCUCCACCCCACGCCGCCACCAGAUUCCGGCGAUCCUCGCCGUUCCCCACCGCCCAGCUCUCCUCCCCGAGGUCACCUCCCCGCUCACCAUCUCCACCGACCGAUUUCUCUCCUCGCCCAGGAGAGCCACGCCCAGGCACUGGUGGUGGUGCAUCACGAGGAGGCCCCAUCGGCGUCCAGCUGCUGCUGCUGCGGGCACAGCGACAUGCUGGGGAGGAGCUACGUCGGGAUGCUGCUCCUGCGCCGAGCUACUGCUGCUGCGGGCACGACAACGAGCCGGGGAGCAGCUGCUGCUACGGGCGCGGCGUCUAUCCUUUCCCCAAAUCCCCAUCCGACGCAUCCCUCUCUAGCCUCAAGCCGCUGCCCUGAGCUCCCCUACAGGGCGGCGACACCACUCUGAUUAGGAGUCACGCAUGUGGCCGGCAUAGCAUUCUGGUCACCAACUGCCCUCCAGGUGUGAGCUGUUUUGCUCGUGGACAAUCUCAUGUGUUGGAUCUGCAUUGGAUGGCAGAUAAGCGGAGUGGGAGCUUGCAGUAGCAGCUUUGACCCCUUCCCAAUGAGCUGCAGGUCGUAGACGAGGUCCCGGCCGAGAAAAAACCUUGCUGGGUCCGAAGUUGUCCAGAUGCAUGGUGAAUGAUGGCUGAGAUAUGGUGCGAAAUGGAAUAGAAAGAAAAUUCUUGUGCCUGCAGGGAGCGGAACUGAAUGUGAUCGGGAGGUCACAGUCAAGAGAGUGAUUCCUUGGCGUGCUACCAAAGGGAAAUGGCACUAUCAUGGAAGUAAAAGAGAUGGCCAUUUAAUUAGGCUAGGCUCACAAGUAGCUGGAUUUUUUUGUGUGAAGAUGCAUCAGUGAUUUUUUUAGCAGUUUAUAAUGGUACUAGCCCCCUGUGCUUGUGGGUGCAGUUCCCUAAUUGCAGAAAAAUACCAGGUGCAAGUGUGGUGCUGGUUCUCUCCUUUGGCUCUUUGGUAUUGGUUCUCUCCUUUGUCUCCUUGUAAUAUGUGUUGGAUAUGUGUUCAUGGAUAUGUGUUGGAUAUAUAUGUGUUCAUGACUAUUGGUAACACGUGUUGGAUAUGUGUUCA